rnacentral:rRNA from 1 species
CUACGGGUCGCUGCAGUGGGGAAUAUUGGACAAUGGGGGGAACCCUGAUCCAGCCAUGCCGCGUGUGUGAAGAAGGCCUUUUGGUUGUAAAGCACUUUAAGCAGUGAAGAAGACUCUUCGGUUAAUACCCGGGGACGAUGACAUUAGCUGCAGAAUAAGCACCGGCUAACUCUGUGCCAGCAGCCGCGGUGAAUACAGAGGGUGCAAGCGUUAAUCGGAAUUACUGGGCGUAAAGCGAGCGUAGGUGGCUUGAUAAGUCAGAUGUGAAAUCCCCGGGCUUAACCUGGGAACUGCAUCUGAAACUGUUAGGCUAGAGUAGGUGAGAGGGAAGUAGAAUUUCAGGUGUAGCGGUGAAAUGCGUAGAGAUCUGAAGGAAUACCGAUGGCGAAGGCAGCUUCCUGGCAUCAUACUGACACUGAGGCUCGAAAGCGUGGGUAGCAAACAGGAUUAGAUACCCGGGUAGUC